rnacentral:rRNA from 1 species
UACGUAGGGGGCAAGCGUUGUCCGGAUUUAUUGGGCGUAAAGAGCUCGUAGGCGGUUUGGUAAGUCGGGUGUGAAAUCUCCACGCUCAACGUGGAGGGGCCACUCGAUACUGCCAUGACUCGAGUCCGGUAGAGGAGUGUGGAAUUCCCGGUGUAGCGGUGAAAUGCGCAGAUAUCGGGAGGAACACCCGUAGCGAAGGCGGCUCUCUGGGACGGUACUGACGCUGAGACGCGAAAGCGUGGGGAGCGAACAGG